rnacentral:rRNA from 1 species
GAAAAAUUUGAUGGUACCCUCUGAAUAAGUGACAGCAAACUAUGUGCCAGCAGCUGCGGUAAUACAUAGGUCGCGAGCGCUAUUCGGAUUUAUUGGGCGUAAAGCAAGCGCAGGCGGAUGAAUAAGUUCUGCAUUAAAAGCAGCUGCUUAACAGUUGUUUGUGCCGAAUACUAUUCAUCUAGAAUGUGGUAGGAAGUUUUGGAAUUAAAUAUGGAGCGGUGGAAUGUGUAGAUAUAUUUAAGAACACCAGAGGCGAAGGCGAAAACUUAGGCCAUUAUUGACGCUUAGGCUUGAAAGUGUGGGUAGCAAAUGGGAUUAGAUACCCCAGUAGUCCACACCGUAAACGAUGGGUAUUAGAUGUCGGGAUUUGUGUUUCGGC